UACGGAGGGUGCGAGCGUUGUCCGGAUUUAUUGGGUUUAAAGGGUGCGUAGGCGGCUCUUUAAGUCAGUGGUGAAAGCCCGCAGCUUAACUGUGGAACUGCCAUUGAUACUGGAGAGCUUGAGUACGGUUGAAGUAGGCGGAAUUUAUGGUGUAGCGGUGAAAUGCAUAGAUACCAUAAAGAACACCGAUAGCGUAGGCAGCUUACUAAGCCGUAACUGACGCUGAGGCACGAAAGCAUGGGGAGCGAACAGG
rnacentral:rRNA from 1 species